GCGACACAUCAUUGGGGUGGCAGGCCCUCCAAGCUCCACUCUUGUGAACUUGAUGCAAAUUUUAACUCGGCGCAGAAAAUCCAGGCAGCGCUGAUGUCGCUUCUCUACAUGCAUACCUUGUAUCACUGAUUUUAACAUACACAACUAAAGAUAUCGUGACGUCAUGUUCCCGCGAAAUUUGUCGCCGCGUUUUUCAAUUGUUUCAAAAUUUAAAGAGACUGAAGAAAUAUGGCGCACAGUGGGUGACAGUGGUGACAGAAUUUCCAGGUUUUUCAAUAACUUCUGUUGAUGAGAUGCAGCAACAGGAGGAGAAGAUAGAAAUUAAAAGGAGAAAGAAAAUAUGCAGCAUCAGAGGGUGUAUUAACGAAAACAGCAGGAUGUUCU